UACGUAGGGGGCAAGCGUUGUCCGGAUUCAUUGGGCGUAAAGAGCGUGUAGGCGGCCUUGCAAGUCCGUUGUGAAAACUCGAGGCUCAACCUCGAGACGCCGGUGGAAACUGCAAAGCUAGAGUCCGGAAGAGGAGAGUGGAAUUCCUGGUGUAGCGGUGAAAUGCGCAGAUAUCAGGAGGAACACCCGUGGCGAAAGCGGCUCUCUGGGACGGUACUGACGCUGAGACGCGAAAGCGUGGGGAGCAAACAGG
rnacentral:rRNA from 1 species